rnacentral:rRNA from 1 species
AGAGUUUGAUCAUGGCUCAGGACGAACGCUGGCGGCGUGCUUAACACAUGCAAGUCACGGGGGCCCGCAAGGGCAACCGGCGAACGGGUGCGUAACACGUGAGCAAUCUGCCGAUUUCUGGGGGAUAGCCGGCCCAACGGCCGGGUAAUACCGCAUACGCUCGUUGAGAGGAGUCUCUCGACGAGGAAACCUCCGGGGGAAAUCGAGGAGCUCGCGGCCUAUCAGCUAGUUGGCGGGGUAACGGCCCACCAAGGCGAUGACGGGUAGCUGGUCUGAGAGGAUGGCCAGCCACAUUGGGACUGAGAAACGGCCCAGACUCCUACGGGAGGCAGCAGUGGGGAAUCUUGCGCAAUGGCCGAAAGGCUGACGCAGCGACGCCGCGUGUGGGAGGACGCCCUUCGGGGUGUAAACCACUGUUGCCCGGGACGAACAUCCCCUUUCGAGGGGACUGACGGUACCGGGUGAGGAAGCACCGGCUAACUCCGUGCCAGCAGCCGCGGUA